GAUGAACGCUGGCGGCGUGCCUAAUACAUGCAAGUCGAGCGAACGGACGAGAAGCUUGCUUCUCUGAUGUUAGCGGCGGACGGGUGAGUAACACGUGGAUAACCUACCUAUAAGACUGGGAUAACUUCGGGAAGCCGGAGCUAAUACCGGAUAAUAUUUUGAACCGCAUGGUUCAAAAGUGAAAGACGGUCUUGCUGUCACUUAUAGAUGGAUCCGCGCUGCAUUAGCUAGUUGGUAAGGUAACGGCUUACCAAGGCAACGAUGCAUAGCCGACCUGAGAGGGUGAUCGGCCACACUGGAACGGAGACACGGUCCAGACUCCUACGGGAGGCAGCAGUAGGGAAUCUUCCGCAAUGGGCGAAAGCCUGACGGAGCAACGCCGCGUGAGAGAUGAAGGACUUCGGAUCGUAAAACUCUGUUAUUAGGGAAGAACAUAUGUGUAAGUAACUGUGCACAUCUUGACGGUACCUAAUCAGAAAGCCACGGCUAACUACGUG
rnacentral:rRNA from 1 species